CCUGACAUUUGGUCAUUCUUAAUGCCAGUUUACUUUAUGUGGAAAACCUUGGCAUUACCCUACUCUAAAUCUGAAUGUCUGAAAUUCGUAUCUCAUGAAAAGCAACAUAUAGUUGGUUUUAAUCUGAUAUCUGGUAAAUAUUGGCUUAUUCAUUUGGCAGCUCAAGUUUUUUGUUAUUUGAAACCAGCUGACUUGGUCUUAAAUGUGAUAUCUAAACACAGAUUAAGGACAAUGGAGCAGGAGGAUUAGCAUUUCACUUGAUGGCUGAACCUAAAAUGACAGGCAUGUCGACCACGACUAGUGCACGCAAGAGAAGGACCUGCAGCGAGCCAAAUGCAGUUUUAAUGAAGCAGUCAUCAUUAGAAGAUAGUCGCCAAAGCGACCCUGUGCAACAUUAUGAUAAUGCAGGUGUAAUGAAGAAGUCCUUAGUAGAAGAUAGAGCGCAAAAAAGGUUCCGGGGUGAGCCUAUGCAACGAUAUAAU